rnacentral:rRNA from 1 species
AUUGAACGCUGGCGGCAUGCUUUACACAUGCAAGUCGAACGGCAGCACAGGGAGCUUGCUCCCGGGUGGCGAGUGGCGCACGGGUGAGUAAUACAUCGGAACGUGUCCUGUUGUGGGGGAUAACUGCUCGAAAUCAUUGCUAAUACCGCAUAUGCUAACAGUAUCGCAUGAUACAGUUAGGAAAGGAGCAAUCCGCUAAUAGAUGGGCUUGCGUCUGAUUAGCUAGUUGGUGGGGUAACGGCCUACCAAGGCGACGAUCAGUAGCCGGACUGAGAGGUUGAACGGCCACAUUGGGACUGAGAUACGGCCCAG